rnacentral:rRNA from 1 species
UACAGAGGUCCCAAGCGUUGUUCGGAUUCACUGGGCGUAAAGGGUGCGUAGGCGGCUUGUCGCGUCGGCUGUGAAAACCUGGGGCUCAACCCCGGGCCUGCAGCCGAUACGGGCAAGCUAGAAUUCGGUAGGGGAGACUGGAAUUCCCGGUGUAGCAGUGAAAUGCGUAGAGAUCGGGAGGAACAUCAGUUGCGAAGGCGGCUCUCUGGACCAGCACUGACACUGAGGCACGAAAGCGUGGGGAGCAAACAGG